GCUGGGCACAGGGCUUUGUAUCUGUAAUCCAAGUGUCUGGGAGGCUGAAGCUGGGAGACUGCUGGAGCCCAGGAGUUUAAGGCUGUAGUGUGCUUUGUUGAGCAGGUGUCCACAGUUGGGCCAGCACCAGCACGGGGAUCCUGAGGGAGCUUAGAGUCUCCAGGUUGCUUAAGGAGAGGUUAACUAGCCCAGGCUGGAAACAAAGCAGGUCAAAACUCUCUUGCUGACCUGCAGCACCUGUGAACGACUCCUGUGGCAGAAUGUGGGCAAGAAAGGGAAACCCACCCUUUU
rnacentral:SRP_RNA from 1 species